GGGGAACCUGCGACUGGAUCACCUCCUUU
rnacentral:rRNA from 1 species